CGUAUCUAAGAUACAGCUACGGUGCGCUCAUCAGAUAACAGUGUCAUGAUUGAAUAGCUUUGCCAGAUUUAAGCAGUUAAUGUUGUUGCGAUCUUUCUCACCAGGGACUCGUGCAAAAACAUGUACUAUAUAUCUGCAACAGCACAGAGGAAUAAAAAGGAGAUCAGGAAGCAGAAAGUCGGCUUUGUGUGCAACUUCAUGGUCGACUCUGUUGAUUACGACACUCGCCGGAUUUUUGCAAGAAGUGACGGAAGAGCCAAGAGUCCGAGAGAGUGCGUCCUCUUGUGAAGCUUUCUCCUUUUAUCGUUCACACGGAGAAGCAGUAUAUCUUGCAGGGUGUGACGCAAUUCGGUCAGUUUACCAGGGGAUUGAAGUUCAACCAUACGAUGGAAUCGAUCCUUACCAGGAGGGACACGCUCACUCCACCAGCAGACUCCCCAAAUAUGGCUGAGGUGGAGCCAGUCUCAAGGAAGGGCCCAAAGGUGGCUUGGCAAACGGAACACCCAGGAAGGCGUGGACCCCGCUCUCCUUCCCCUUUACACUCACAUACUCACCUUUCAGACUCCCGAGCUUUGUGUGGACUACAGGUGCUGUCAGGAUAUUACAACUCAGUGAGAAUCAUCAUGUAAAUCUACAAGUUUACUCAGAAAUUAUAACUGACAGACAAAUGUGUGAUAUGCCAAACUGCUGGGUCAGUCUGCUCAAGUGUGAAACUGCUGUAUUCCUCUUCAGGAGUUGGGAUGGCUAUUUUUAGAAAAUAAGCACCAAAAAGUCACAUUUUGCUGUGGACAAUAUAAUUCCCACAAUUAUUGAUUGUCAAAUUCCUAAUUAAAAUUAUUAUUGAUGCAGACCAUUUGGUGCAUUAUGCUCUUUCAGUCAUUCACACUAAUUCCGUGCUGUUGAUCAGGCUACACAGACACACCCUGAUUAGAAAUAUCACACCUUUGUACUUUGUUUUUUAAA